rnacentral:lncRNA from 1 species
CAUUCACAACGGCCAACUUAGCCAUUUUUUUAACGAAGGGUUAAUUUUAUACAGGUCUUUGCGAAUAUAGUGAAUGAUAAACAUAUAUCUACAAAAUUCAAUUUUCAUAUGUUGUCCCAACAAAAAUUUUAAUAUUUUUAAAUAUGUCUCUCUGAUUUGUUACCGUUAGAGAACUAUUUAUAUUUUCAAUUUCACCAUCACAAAUAUGUCACUUCAAAAAUCAUAACAGUAUAAUAUAAAACAGGUAAAAAUGUCAAAAACUAAUCAGGGUAAAGUAAUUAACUAUGAUUAAUUAAAAUUUUCUAACGGAUUCUAACGAUAGGGACAUAUUUGAAAAUAUUAGGACUUUUGUAGGAAUAAUAUAUGAAAGUUGAACUUUAUAAGGAUAUAUUUGUCAUUUAUUAUAUUUGCAGGGACCUGUAUGAAAUUAAUCCUUCAGCUAAAAACCAAAAGAAUUUUGUGAAUCCCUA